AUUGAACGCUGGCGGCAUGCCUUACACAUGCAAGUCGAACGGUAACAGGUUAAGCUGACGAGUGGCGAACGGGUGAGUAAUACAUCGGAACGUGCCCAGUAGUGGGGGAUAGCCCGGCGAAAGCCGGAUUAAUACCGCAUACGACCUAAGGGUGAAAGGGGGGGAUCGCAAGACCUCUGGCUAUUGGAGCGGCCGAUGUCAGAUUAGCUAGUUGGUGGGGUAAAAGCUCACCAAGGCGACGAUCUGUAGCUGGUCUGAGAGGACGACCAGCCACACUGGGACUGAGACACGGCCCAGACUCCUACGGGAGGCAGCAGUGGGGAAUUUUGGACAAUGGGCGCAAGCCUGAUCCAGCCAUGCCGCGUGCGGGAAGAAGGCCUUCGGGUUGUAAACCGCUUUUGUCAGGGAAGAAAUCCUUUGGGUUAAUACCUCGGGGGGAUGACGGUACCUGAAGAAUAAGCACCGGCUAACUACGUG
rnacentral:rRNA from 1 species